GGGAACAAGGUCUCCGUAGGUGAACCUGCGGAGGGAUCAUUACACAAAUAUGAAGGCGGGCUGGAACCUCUCGGGGUUACAGCCUUGCUGAAUUAUUCACCCUUGUCUUUUGCGUACUUCUUGUUUCCUUGGUGGGUUCGCCCACCACUAGGACAAACAUAAACCUUUUGUAAUUGCAAUCAGCGUCAGUAACAAAUUAAUAAUUACAACUUUCAACAACGGAUCUCUUGGUUCUGGCAUCGAUGAAGAACGCAGCGAAAUGCGAUAAGUAGUGUGAAUUGCAGAAUUCAGUGAAUCAUCGAAUCUUUGAACGCACAUUGCGCCCUUUGGUAUUCCAAAGGGCAUGCCUGUUCGAGCGUCAUUUGUACCCUCAAGCUUUGCUUGGUGUUGGGCGUCUUGUCUCUAGCUUUGCUGGAGACUCGCCUUAAAGUAAUUGGCAGCCGGCCUACUGGUUUCGGAGCGCAGCACAAGUCGCACUCUCUAUCAGCAAAGGUCUAGCAUCCAUUAAGCCUUUUUUCAACUUUGACCUCGAUCAGUAGAU
rnacentral:rRNA from 1 species